UACGAAGGGGGCUAGCGUUGCUCGGAAUCACUGGGCGUAAAGGGUGCGUAGGCGGGUCUUUUAAGUCAGAGGUGAAAUCCUGGAGCUCAACUCCAGAACUGCCUUUGAUACUGAGGAUCUUGAGUUCGGGGAGAGGUGAGUGGAACUGCGAGUGUAGAGGUGAAAUUCGUAGAUAUUCGCAAGAACACCAGUGGCGAAGGCGGCUCACUGGCCCGGUACUGACGCUGAGGUGCGGAAGCGUGGGGAGCAAACAGGG
rnacentral:rRNA from 1 species